GGUUUAAAGUCCCCCUGGGCAAUAAUUUUAUCCCUUAAAACUCAUCUUUCAUCACCAAAAUGACAUAUUUAAAGUUUUUUUCCCCUGUGAAAUAGCUUGAAUGUAACUCUAGUCUACACCCUUGCUUUAUUUAGUAGCUUAUUCAUCUAUGAAUAUGCUGAUUAGCCCCGCCUCCACUCACUCGCACGAGCUCGAGAGAUCCACUGAACUGAGGUAAACGCUGCACAAUGCUGUCGUCUUUUACAACGUCGGAGUCGGACACAUAACGAAAAAUAUACCGGGAUAACCUGGCUUCUCUUAAGACUCCCCUGCUUCAGAGCGACUGUGUGGAACUUCAACCAUGAAAUGCAUAAAGAAGUAUGACACAUUGAAUAAGAGCCCAUUACAAGCGGUAAAUUUUAUUAUGGGAUAACAGCACAUAAAGCACAUCUAAAAUCGAUGUGUCAAAUGCACUUUUAAUAAAGCGGUAUUUACAAAAUGAAUCAAAAUACUUAUUUUCAUAUUUAAGAAUCAGACAAACAGAAGGAGCAAAACCACUAUUGAGAAGAGACUAUCUCCUAAAGAGAGUUCCAAAGAGCUGAAUAAAAAGGUAAGCAGGAGAAAAAUCCAUCCCGUCCUGCCCCAGCCCUUGUGCCUCCCCUUCAGCUCAACAAGAAAUAGAAAACAUGUUGGAGGGCCAGCUGGAUCUUCUGCUGGAGUUUCUCCACCUUCACCUUCUCCUGGAGCCAGGACCGGUCUAAACACAGAUUUUCAGAUGCCUUUAGCAUUGGUGCUCUCCAAUGGAAAAUGAGCCGGGCUUACCUGCAGACAUCAACACGAAGGCGGAGAACAGGGCGAUCUCGUCUUCAGAGAGGUGCAUAGAACACAAGUUUUUCCCAAACUCGAAGACAGAGCUGAUCAAGUCGUCGCAGCCUGUCACCGUGGAGACGGAAAGAAAAAGUCGGUAAAAAAAAACUGUGAGACGGAGCAGUAGACAGCGUCGGGUAGACACUUGAUCUUUUAGCAUGAGAUGUCGGGGUGGCACAGAGGUAAAAAACAAUACAAUCCUUCAGCAUAACAGAAUGAUUUUUCCCGCCAUGGGUUUUUCCCCUCCAGGCUAAUCAUGCUUUGGCGAAUGAGAGGGGUUAUGUAAGCAUGACUGGGGUCACUAACAAGACUGGAUAAAAGCCAUGACUCAGAGCUCGCACAAACACUGGGAGAUCGUCUACAGCAGCACUUCUCAAACUUUCCAAGCCAAGCACCACCUAGAGGGAAUGUUCCCUCUAAUUUUGUCUUUCAUUUUGAAUGCAAGCAUUAGGACAGGGACAUAAUAUAAAUGUAGAAGGAUCACACUAAAUCGAAACACAAUAUGCAUGAAUAUACACAAUUUUCAGAAUAAAAAUAUUUUAACAUAUUCAUAUUUUAAGAAAUAAACAUAUUUUGGUCUGCCUAAAAGCA